UCUCCCCCUUUUUCUUUCAAGUUAUGCAUAUUCAAUCAAUUUUAAAAAAAUAAGCUUUGUAUCUUUCUCCCCCUUAGUUUUAUAAGUCAUGUCAUCCUUUAAUCUACCUUUUAGGGUCAUAAUUUUUGUUUUCUCCCCCUAUCUUUUAUAGCUGGUGCCAUGAAUUAAGUUAUUUUGAAAUUUCUUUAUAAGUUAUCAACAAAGCACAAUUCAAAAUGAACAUGAUAUGUAUAUAAGUAAAAGCAACAAAUGACCAAACUAAUUGAAGACAAAAACAAGUUGAUGCUGAAGAUAAGAAUUUUAUAUUCAUUGAUUUCAAAGCAUGCUUACAAUAGGAUGUCCACAAUGAUGACAAGCAUCACAAAAAUCAAAAUGCAAGACAUUAAGCACACAAUCUUUUACGAAUUGG
rnacentral:lncRNA from 1 species